GCCUGGAUGGCUCAGUCGGUUGAGCAUCUGACUUUGGCUCAGGUCAUGAUCUCGUGGUCUGUGGGUUCGAGCCCCGUGUCGGGCU
rnacentral:tRNA from 1 species